rnacentral:rRNA from 1 species
GACGAACGCUGGCGGCGUGCUUAACACAUGCAAGUCGAACGGAAAGGCCCUGCUUUUGUUGGGUUCUCGAUUGGCGAACGGGUGAGUAACACGUGAGUAACCUUCCCUUUACUUUGGUAUAACUUCAGGUAACUUGUGCUAAUACCGGAUAGGAUCUCCUGCUGCAUGGUUGUGGUUGGAAAGUUUCGGCGGUUGGGGAUUGACUCGCGGCUUAUCAGCUUUUUUGUUGGGUAUUUGCUUACCAAGGGUUUGACGGGUAGCCGGCAUGAGAGGGUGACCGGCAACAAUGGGACUGAGAUACGGACCAGAAUGGUACGGGAGGCAGCAGUGGGGAAUAUUGAAGAAUGGGAGGAAGGCUGAUGCAGAAACGCAGCGUGCGGGAUGAAGGCCUUCGGGUUGUAAAAAGAUUUAGAAGGUGAAGAAGAGUGAGUGACGGUAAUGGGUAAAGAAGCAACGGCUAACUACGUG